AUGAAAAAGGGCAGGAGGAACGACAAGGGUAAGAAGCUUGCGGGCAAGGCCGCGGCAAGGGCUCUCGUGUGGCUUCUGCUUCCUGUCCUCGUCUUCGUCGUGCUCAACUCCCAUCACAUGCCGCAGGUUCCUCUUCAAGCAACAACUCUUUAUUUGGUCGGUCAUGCAUCAAGCGAGCAGACGCCCGUCGGUGCACCACCUUCUCCCGCAUCAGGCGAUGAAACGCCCGUCAACGCACCACCUUCUCCCGCAACAAGCCACCAUCCUUCCCCCGCAUCACGCCCCGGCGUCGUCAGUGCCAACAAAAGUCAAGCCCGUCCACGAGAUACAGAUGUGGCAGCACCAAGAAGCAAGUCAAUUUGCAACUUCAGCAGUGACCGCAUGGACAUCUGUGCCAUGCAAGGCGACGUCCGUAUGCACGGCAAAUCUGCCACCGUCUACGUUGUCUCAGCGUCUGAAGACAGCUACCGGCCAGAGAACGGGACGGUGAAGAUCCGCCCGUAUCCGCGCAAGUCAGAGGAAGGAACGAUGCAUGCUAUCCGGGAGGUGACCAUCCGCUGGAGCGGGCUGGAUGCGCCACGGUGCACGGUGACGCACGACGUCCCCGCGGUGGUCUUCUCCACGGGCGCCUACCUCAACAACUUUUUCCACGCCAUGACCGACGGCAUCAUCCCUCUCUUCAACACUGUGAGGGAGUACGAUGGCCAUGUCCAGCUUGUGAUCACCGACUACAACCGCAAGUGGGUUGACAAGUUCCAACGCAUCCUCGCCGCGCUCUCCAGGUACCCGGUCAUCAACUUGGACGCCGAUGACAAGGUGCGUUGCUUCCCGUCGGUGCACGUCGGCACCGAAGGCCAUAAGGAGAUGGGGAUCAUCCCUGCUCUCUCCCGCAAGGGCUACACAAUGACGGACUUCCGGAACUUUCUUCGUUCGAUCUACUCGUUGAAGCGUGAGUGGUCGACCCCUGUAAACCGGACCUCCGGUGACAGGCCUCGCCUCCUCAUGAUCCUGCGCCGCAACUCGAGGGCGUUCGUGAAUGAGGCGGAGGCCGUCGCAGCUGCCACAGAGGUCGGCUUCGAGGUGGUGUCGGCAGAGCCGCAUGUCGUGAGCGACAUGGCCCGGUUUGCAGAGGUUGUGAACUCAUGCGACGUGAUGGUGGGCGUGCAUGGCGCAGGGCUCACCAACCUGGUGUUCCUCCCGCGCAACGCGACGUUGGUGCAGGUCGUCCCGUGGGGCGACAUGAGCUGGGGAUCCAAUGCUGCCUUUGGUGCACCGUCGGCUGACAUGGGGCUCCGGUACGUCCAAUACGAGACGACCCCGGAGGAGACGACGCUCAAGUACAAAUACCCGAGGGACCAUGCUGUCUUCACCGAUGUCGCCUCCAUAAAUAGGCAGGGGUAUGGUAUGACGUGGGAGCUCUUCCUCAACGGCCAGAACAUCACCCUCGACAUCAACCGCUAUAGAGGGGUGUUGCAGCAAAUCUACCAGGAUAGUAUAAUGGUUGAUACUUCAGCUAACUAG
rnacentral:rRNA from 1 species